rnacentral:rRNA from 1 species
AGGGCGCAUGGUGAAUGCCUUGGCACUAGGAGCCGAUGAAGGACGGGACUAACACCGAUAUGCUUCGGGGAGCUGUACGUAAGCUAUGAUCCGGAGAUUUCCGAAUGGGGCAACCCAGCAGUUUUAAUCAACUGUUACCACUAGAUGAAUUCAUAGUCUAGUUGGAGGUAAACGCUGUGAACUGAAACAUCUCAUUAGCAGCAGGAAUAUAAAGAAAUUUCGAUUCCCUAAGUAGCGGCGAGCGAACGGGGAACAGCCCAAACCAAAGUGCUUGCACUUUGGGGUUGUAGGACUGAACAUUUGAGUUACCAAAGAACUUGAUAGUCGAAGGAUUUGGGAAAAUCCGCCAUAGAUGGUGAUAGCCCAGUAGAUUAAAUCAAAUUCUCUCAGUUCAGGAUCCUGAGUACGGCGGAACACGUGAAAUUCCGUCGGAAUCCGGGAGGACCAUCUCCCAAGGCUAAAUACUACCUAGUGACCGAUAGUGAACCAGUACCGUGAGGGAAAGGUGAAAAGCACCCCGGGAGGGGAGUGAAAUAGUUCCUGAAACCAUGUGCCUACAAUAAGUCAGAGCGCGUUAAUGCGUGAUGGCGUGCCUUUUGUAGAAUGAACCGGCGAGUUAUGAUCCCGUGCAAGGUUAAGACUAAAAAGUCGGAGCCGUAGCGAAAGCGAGUCUGAAAUGGGCGUUUUGAGUACGAGGUUAUAGACCCGAAACCAGGUGACCUAUCCAUGUCCAGGUUGAAGGUGCGGUAAAACGCACUGGAGGACCGAACCCGUGUAAGUUGAAAAUUGCUGGGAUGAGGUGUGGAUAGCGGUGAAAUUCCAAACGAACUUGGAGAUAGCUGGUUCUCUCCGAAAUAGCUUUAGGGCUAGCCUCGGAAUUAGGAUCAUGGAGGUAGAGCACUAUUUGGACUAGGGGCCCGUCUUGGGUUACUGAAUUCAGAUAAACUCCGAAUGCCAUUGAUUCAUAUCCGGGAGUCAGACGAUGAGUGAUAAGAUCCACCGUCGAAAGGGGAACAGCCCAGACCAUCAGUUAAGGUCCCUAAAUGUAUGCUAAGUGGAAAAGGAUGUGGAGUUGCAUAGACAACUAGGAUGUUGGCUCAGAAGCAGCCACCAUUUAAAGAGUGCGUAAUAGCUCACUAGUCGAGUGAUCCUGCGCCGAAAAUGUACCGGGGCUAAGCAUACUACCGAAACCAUGGAUGCGACCAUUAGGUCGCGUGAUAGGAGAGCGUUCUAAGGGCGGUGAAGCAAGAUCGUGAGGACUUGUGGAGCGCUUAGAAGUGAGAAUGCCGGUAUGAGUAGCGAAAGAUAGGUGAGAAUCCUAUCCACCGAAUGACUAAGGUUUCCUGGGGAAGGCUCGUCCUCCCAGGGUUAGUCGGGACCUAAGUCGAGGCCGAGAGGCGUAGACGAUGGAUAACAGGUUGAGAUUCCUGUACUAGUUAAGUGCGUUUGAGCAAUGGAGGGACGCAGGAGGCUAAGAUGUGCAUUCUGUUGGAUUAGAAUGUCCAAGCAGUAAGUCUUGUGAAGAGUCAAAUGCUUUUCACUUUAAGGACAAGCUGUGAUGGGGAGCGAAAUUUAGUAGCGAAGCGUCUGAUGUCACACUGCCGAGAAAAGCUUCUAGUGAGUACUUAACUACCCGUACCGCAAACCGACACAGGUAGUCGAGGAGAGAAUCCUAAGGUGAGCGAGUGAACUCUCGUUAAGGAACUCGGCAAAAUGACCCCGUAACUUCGGGAGAAGGGGUGCUGAUCGCAAGAUCAGCCGCAGUGAAUAGGCCCAGGCGACUGUUUAUCAAAAACACAGGUCUCUGCAAAAUCGUAAGAUGACGUAUAGGGGCUGACGCCUGCCCGGUGCUGGAAGGUUAAAAGGAUGGGUUAGCUUCGGCGAAGCUCAGAAUUGAAGCCCCAGUAAACGGCGGCCGUAACUAUAACGGUCCUAAGGUAGCGAAAUUCCUUGUCGGGUAAGUUCCGACCCGCACGAAAGGCGUAACGAUCUGGGCACUGUCUCAACGAGAGACUCGGUGAAAUUAUAUUGUCCGUGAAGAUGCGGACUACCCGCGACAGGACGGAAAGACCCCAUGGAGCUUUACUGUAGCUUGAUAUUGAGUGUUUGUACAGCUUGUACAGGAUAGGUAGGAGCCAUAGAAACCGGAACGCUAGUUUCGGUGGAGGCGUUGGUGGGAUACUACCCUCGCUGUAUGACCACUCUAACCCGCACCACUAAUCGUGGUGGGAGACAGUGUCAGGUGGGCAGUUUGACUGGGGCGGUCGCCUCCUAAAAAGUAACGGAGGCGCCCAAAGGUUCCCUCAGAAUGGUUGGAAAUCAUUCGCAGAGUGUAAAGGCACAAGGGAGCUUGACUGCGAGACAGACAGGUCGAGCAGGGACGAAAGUCGGGCUUAGUGAUCCGGUGGUACCGUAUGGAAGGGCCAUCGCUCAACGGAUAAAAGCUACCCUGGGGAUAACAGGCUUAUCUCCCCCAAGAGUCCACAUCGACGGGGAGGUUUGGCACCUCGAUGUCGGCUCAUCGCAUCCUGGGGCUGUAGUCGGUCCCAAGGGUUGGGCUGUUCGCCCAUUAAAGCGGUACGCGAGCUGGGUUCAGAACGUCGUGAGACAGUUCGGUCCCUAUCCGUCGCGGGCGUAGGAAAUUUGAGAGGACCUGUCCUUAGUACGAGAGGACCGGGAUGGACAU